AAGUUAGAUGUAGUGAUCAAACUACAAUUAGGGUCAAAUUGAUUAGAUUAGACUAGAACCCAUUUUUGAUUUUGAGUAGUUGAUUAAACCUAAUCGAUGGUUGAUUAUAAUUAGAUCAAAGGAGCUCAAAAUUGAGUUUAUUUAUAGUUGAUCGCAUCGAUUCAUAUUUUGAUGUGAGUUGAUUGACUCAAGAUUAAAUUUGGCUCAGUAGUUC
rnacentral:lncRNA from 1 species